rnacentral:rRNA from 1 species
UACGGAGAGUGCGAACGUUGUUCGGAUUCACUGGGCGUAAAGGGCACGUAGGCGGCUUGGCAAAUCGGUCGUGGAAUCCCGACGCUUACCGUCGGAACGGCGACCGAAAAUACCGAGCUCGAGGGCGUGAGGGGUCACUGGAACUCCUGGUGAAGCGGUGAAAUGCGUAGAUAUCAGGAGGAACGCCGGAGGCGAAAGCGAGUGACUGGCGCGUUCCUGACGCUGAGGUGCGAAAGCUAGGGGAGCAAACAGG